GGCGCAAAUGCUGGGAACUGCCCUCCGAAGGCAGAGGUCGAAGGUUCGAAUCCUUUCGGGUCCGCCA
rnacentral:tRNA from 1 species